UCUUCUUACAACAUUUAUUUGUGAUUUUUGUAAGAUUUGGAGAUGAAAAUCUAGUUUUGAAAAAAUUAGGGUUUUAUUUGGGUCUUUGUGAUUUGUAGCCUUUGGGGCUAAAUUGAUGAGUGUAGAACUCUCAUUUAUGUUAGAUUUGAAGCUUUGUAGCUUCAAUUGGGACUUUGAUCAAGUUCUCCUUAGGUAAAGGUAAUUUUCUAUCUAUUUAGGCUUAUUUUUGGGUAUCUUUGUAUGAUGUUCGUUUGAAGCUUGUAAUCUUUUUAGAAAUUCUUUUAUGGUGCUAGAAGUUUAGUGGACAACUUCGUUUGAAGGAAUGAAAGGAUUCGAGGAGCAUCCGCCUUGGAAGCCAUCGACUACGACAUCAACAUGGACGAGGAAGUCGUUGGCUGCAAUGAAAAAAAAUCCGACUCGUUGAAGAGAUCAACGAGGCGGCGGUGCACAGACACACAUGCGCCAUCAAGCGCCCGGAAAAGCUCCUCGGCCUUAGCCUUCCGCCUCCCGCUUGGGCCGCCGCCGCUGCCUCCACCUUGAGCGUGUCCUUGAUUGACCGGAUAGUGGCCCGGGGGAUGGGGGCCCCACAUUAUUGUUAAAUGUUAAUUUGCAUUAUUAAAAUAAAGUGUACAAUUUUCAUCCAAA